rnacentral:rRNA from 1 species
CCCAGGCUUCGGCCUGGGGGACAGCGGCGAACGGGUNAGUAACACGUGGGUAAUCUGCCCUCGGCAUCGGGAUAGCCCGGGGAAACCCGGAUUAAUACCGAAUGGCCCAUCUGCUCUUCGGAGCGGCUGGAAAAGGUAGCUUUGGCCUCCGGCCGAGGAGGAGCCCGCGGCGGAUUAGCUUGUUGGUGAGGUAACGGCUCACCAAGGCGACGAUCCGUAGCUGGUCUGAGAGGACGAUCAGCCACACUGGGACUGAGACACGGCCCAGACUCCUACGGGAGGCAGCAGUGGGGAAUCUUGCGCAAUGGGCGAAAGCCUGACGCAGCGACGCCGCGUGCGGGAAGAAGGCCUUCGGGUUGUAAACCGCUUUCAGGAGGGACGAAGCCACUCGGGUUAAUAGCCCAGAGGGUGACGGUACCUCCAGAAGAAGCCCCGGCUAACUACGUGCCAGCAGCCGCGGUAAUACGUAGGGGGCAAGCGUUGUCCGGAUUUAUUGGGCGUAAAGAGCGUGUAGGCGGCCAGGUAGGUCCGCUGUGAAAACUCGAGGCUCAACCUCGAGAUGUCGGCGGAAACCAUCAGGCUAGAGUCCGGAAGAGGAGAGUGGAAUUCCUGGUGUAGCGGUGAAAUGCGCAGAUAUCAGGAAGAACACCCGUGGCGAAGGCGGCUCUCUGGGACGGUACUGACGCUGAGACGCGAAAGCGUGGGGAGCGAACAGGAUUAGAUACCCUGGUAGUCCACGCCGUAAACGAUGGGUGCUAGGUGUGGGCGGUGUCGACUCCGUCCGUGCCGAAGCUAACGCAUUAAGCA